UCCUCUCUUCCAGCCCUCAGAGAUGGAGACAGACACACUCCUGCUAUGGGUGCUGCUUCUCUGGGUUCCAGGCUCCACUGGUGACAUUGUGCUGACCCAAUCUCCAGCUUCUUUGCCUGUGUCUCAAGGGCAGAGGGCCACCAUCUCCUGCAAGGCCAGCCAGAGUGUCGAUUAUAAUGGAAUUAGUUAUAUGGACUGGUUCCAACAGAAACCAGAACAGCCACCCAAACUCCUCAUCAAUCGUGCAUCCAACCUAGAAUCUGGGGUCCCUGCCAGGUUCAGUGGCAGUGGGUCUGGGACAGACUUCACCCUCAACAUCCAUCCUCUGAAGGAGGAUGAUGCUGCAACCUAUUACUGUCAGCAAAGUAAUAAGGAUCCUCCCACAGAGCUCCAGGGCUGA